rnacentral:tRNA from 1 species
AGGGGCGUAGCUCAGAUGGUAGAAUGCUCGCUUAGCAUGCGAGAGGUACAGGAUUCGAUACCCGGCGCCUCCA